rnacentral:lncRNA from 1 species
AACAGUGUGCUCUGCAGCUAGACAGGCCACAGUUUGCUGUUUGCCAGCAGACUUUCACACCUGGCUUCCAGCAAUAGAGCGGAAAGGCACCCUGGCCUGCCCUGAAGCAUGCACUUGAUCACCUGGUUGAAAGAAACAAAGAGAGAGCAAAAGAUAUGUGGCCUUGGAAGGAUGGCAUGCAAAAAGGAAGGUGUCAGACAAAUCGCUAACACACACCAAGACUCAUGUGCCUUUGUUUCAAGAUCCUGGCCAGAAGUAGGUACUGAGUCCCCUACAGGACUGAGCUGCUGUCUGGGAUUGACCUCAUCAGAACUGGAAUCACACAUUUUAAGCGGUAAAAAAAACACUCUCUUGAAAGGAUUGUGCAUAUGUGCAAAACUAGAAUGCAAGACAUCGGAGGAAUUCAGACCUACGACCUUCUGAAUAUUCACAAUGAACCCACUCCGAAAGCAUCAUGCACUUCAAUCUCAGGAAAGCUUUUGUUGUCUUUGGUGUGGUUACAAUUACUAAAAUAAGAUAGUUGGAAUGCCUUUCCAUGUACCAACACAGACUACGAACACAGUCACAUAGUUCUGCAACAUGCGUCUGACAUUAGAUCUACUUUUCAGUAGAUCUACAGUUUCAGGCAAAUUCAUUCACAGGCUUAUAAAGCUACUCUAAGACACAUAUAUGAAUCCCUAUUAUUCUAAACAGUAGUUUCUUAUCUCGUGCUUCGUUGCGGGAAAAAGAUAGAAACAUUUUCUUCUCAUACCUACAACUUUGGCUUUUAUGACAUCAUCAAAAUGCAUUGGUAUUUAGCUUCUCUUCUUUCAGUACUUUAAAAAAGGGGGGAGGAAGGAGACAGGAGCUUAUGCUACCUACCUUUCUAAUAUGCUGUCAUUAGAGAGAGUUUUAGAAUCAAAAGCUAAGAAAUAAAGAUAAUUUUAAGAAAUAAAAAUAAUUAUUA